GACGUAGGGCGCGAGCGUUGUCCGGAUUUAUUGGGCGUAAAGAGCUCGUAGGCGGCUUGUCGCGUCGACUGUGAAAACCCGAGGCUCAACUUCGGGCUUGCAGUCGAUACGGGCAGGCUAGAGUUCGGUAGGGGAGACUGGAAUUCCUGGUGUAGCGGUGAAAUGCGCAGAUAUCAGGAGGAACACCGGUGGCGAAGGCGGGUCUCUGGGCCGAUACUGACGCUGAAGAGCGAAAGCGUGGGGAGCGAACAGG
rnacentral:rRNA from 1 species